UACGGAGGUUGCAAGCGUUGUUCGGAAUGACUGGGCGUAAAGGGAGCGCAGGCGGUUCGUUAAGUCUGGAGUGAAAGCCCGGGGCUCAACCCCGGAGGGUCUUCGGAUACUGACGAACUCGAGUACGGAAGAGGAGAGUGGAAUUCCAGGUGUAGCGGUGAAAUGCGUAGAUAUCUGGAGGAACACCGGUGGCGAAAGCGGCUCUCUGGUCCGAUACUGACGCUCAGGCUCGAAAGCGUGGGGAGCAAAC
rnacentral:rRNA from 1 species